AGAUCUGUUAUGAUGGAGAAAAGUAGGUUAUAGGAAGACUUACAGAGAAGAAAUGUCAAAGGCUGAGAGCAUUUCGAAGUUGUAAUGUAACCGAAGUUCGCUCUUGAACUAUAGAAUUGAAGUAGCAGUAGGUUCUAUCGGUCGACGCCGUUACGUCUAAGGAGUGGUUGAAAGCUUUUCAGCUAUUAGGGUGGUACCGCGGAGAAAUCUUCGUCCCUUUC
rnacentral:ncRNA from 1 species